AGAUAUCAAAGGAAAAAAAAAUUCCUGGCCUGGAUAUUGGUGGAGACACCUUUUUAAGGAAGAGAAGGGUUCUGUGUGAUGAAGGUGAGGACUGAGUAUAUUCCAGCCAUUAUAUGAUUAAUUCUCUGUGAUUAAUUAAUGUGAUCUCACCAUUGUAGGCACUCUUCCCAAAAGUGAAGAUCAGAUCCAUCCAUUCCUAAUUAUUACGUGAGACUCUUGUCUAUAUUAGCCCAUAAAUUGGAUCAGGUGUCUAAGCAAAGUGCUAAGAGAUUCCACCUACCUCAUUGAUGGAUACCAUUGUUAGAUGGAUACCAAUGGAAUAAUCUAACAAUUAUUCAAUGACCUUGCUAUGUGAAUGACAUCUUUCCCCCCAUUCAUAUAUCUCUCUGAUGACAACAAAGGGAAACUGCAUUAUUAGGUCAUGGGGACUACAUGACUGAGCAAGAUAACCUCACUAUAAGAAUAUUGAUUAAUAGGGGCAUCAUGGUGGUUCAAUGGAUAAAGAAUGAGGUCUGGAGUCAGAAGGAUCUGGGUUUAAAUAUGGGGUCAGAUACUUCCUAGCUCUCUGACUCUAGUCCCAAGACAUCAGAGAGGAGCAGAACUAUGAACUAUGUGAAAUCCCAGGAGGAAGGCUUCUACUAGAAUAACUUUGGAAGUAUGGAUAAAGCACUCUACGGGAGAGUUAGAAAGUUCUGGGUUUGAGUCCCACUUAAAACAUUUCUUAGUUAAGUAACUCUGGGUAAGUCAAUUGGCUCUUUGAACCUCAUUUUCCUCCACUUAGGGUUGUCCUAAGGAUCAAAAAAGAUGAUACACAGGAGGCAAAAUAUAAUGAAGUGUAUUCAACCAAUAUGAAUGUCAACUAUAUUAACUACAGGACAGGAAUUCCGGACAAUCCUAAGACUUCCAGGAACACAGAGCAGUUUAUAAAACCAGACGGCAAGUUUCUGGACCUGCUCACACAUCCGGGGUUCUUGGACAGGACAUGGUAGGCAGACAGCUGCACAUAUCACAGAAUCCUUGUAUGGCCACCCAGAAGCUCUUCUUCAAGGGAGGGAGAACAACACUUCACAAUACAAGGCUUCUGAUGGACAACAGGAGGUCAUCUCUGCAAGAGCCUGGAAUCUAUACAGCAUCUACUUCAGUAGUCAAUGGAUCAAUCCAAGGUUGUGUCUUGGAAAACGUGAGGAAACUGAAGCAAACAGCUUGGAUUUGAACUCAAGGCUCUCCAGGUCCACUACUCUAUGCAAUGAUGAUUGCAUGGUCUUGCAAUUGUGUGGGUUAUUCUGAGGAAAAAUGCUCUGUAAACUUUUUUCAUUAUUUAAAUAUAUUAUUAAUUAUGCUUCUUUUUAGUU
rnacentral:lncRNA from 1 species